UACGUAGGGGCCGAGCGUUGUCCGGAGUUAUUGGGCGUAAAGCGCGCGCAGGCGGCCCCGCGCGCCCGACGUGAAAGCCCCCGGCUUAACCGGGGAGGGUCGUUGGGGACGGCGGGGCUUGAGGGCGGGAGAGGGAUGCAGAAUUCCAGGUGUAGCGGUGAAAUGCGUAGAUAUCUGGAGGAAUACCGGUGGCGAAGGCGGCAUCCUGGACCAACACUGACGCUGAGGCGCGAAAGCUAGGGGAGCAAACGGG
rnacentral:rRNA from 1 species